AUCCGUUGGUGGCAAAACUCCCUUAAAUGGGCGGUUUCUUCCUGCGCGUGAAUUAAUAACGCAACACCAGAUCAAGACCCGCCAUGAAGCGGGUUUUUUUAU
rnacentral:sRNA from 1 species